CCUUUUUUUGGCGGUCGAGAUACCCCCCUAUUUCUGACUGUAAACGACGCCAAAAGCGAUCGGCUGAGGGAAAUUAUAUCGCCGGGGUGGGGAGCCCCCGGGAAAAGAAUGUCUUCCGGUUCCGGGGGACGUAUGGUUGCAAAGCUGAAACUUAAGGGAAUUGAGGGAAGGGCACCACCAGGAGUGGAGCCUGCGGCUUAAUUUGACUCAACACGGGGAAACUCACCCGGCCCGGACACUGUGAGGAUUGACAGAUUGAUAGCUUUUUCUUGAUUCAGUGGAUGGUGGUGCAUGGCCGUUCUUAGUUCGUGGAGUGAUUUGUCUGGUUUAUUCCGAUAACGAGCGAGACUCUAACCUACUAAAUAGCUGGUACAUACUCUUAGUGUAUACAGCUUCUUAGAGGGAUUUGCGGUGUUCAGCCGAAAGAAAUUGAGCAAUAACAGGUCUGUGAUGCCCUUAGAUGUCCGGGGCUGCACGCGCGCUACACUGGCAAAAUCAACGUGCUUGUCCUACCCCGAAAGGGGCGGGUAAACCAUUGAAAAUUUGCCGUGAUUGGGAUCGGAAAUUGCAAUUAUUUCCUGUGAACGAGGAAU
rnacentral:rRNA from 1 species